GGCACGCCACAUUUUGAAAGUGAGAAUGUCAACCUUCAUUCCAAAAUCCAUAUGCCAUACCAUCAAACCGUAUAGUAAAAUAAAGUGCUUGCAUCCUCUCCACUGGUUGACCAGCUGCAGAGGAAGCAAUCAAAGUUGUUCUGUUUUCCCCAACGUCGUAAAACGCCCCCUGCUCUGGUUUGACCAGAGGCCGGGGGUUCACCAAACCUGUCCACUCUCACCCCCACACUGUUUUCUCUCAAUAAAUAUGCCCUUGCAAGAGGGAGAGUUCAGACA